AAUUCAUAAUAUAAAUAAACAAAAAUGAAUUUAUUGAUCAUUUUGGAAAAUAAUCUUAUCCGAAACAUUCUGAUAAAAGUUAUUAUUAUGAGAUCCUUUUGAUAUUUUUUAAUAAGAUAAAACAAUAUGACAGAAAAUAAGCAAUCAGACAUCUCGCAUUGACAGUAUUUCACAGUUUAAUAUAUUGUGAUAAUGCGCAUGCUUGCUUCGGCACUAUUGCGUCGUCUUUUGCUAUAAAAGCGAAGUUACGGAUUUUUGAAUUGGGUACACUCAACUUGUAUUUAUAAAAUUUUACUUGCUUCUACUAUGUCGGAGCUAAGCAAUGGGGCAUUACAGUGUCCAACACAGGCAGUUCACAUUCCAGAUUAUGUUAAAUGUCAGAUGAAAGUUCGAAUUCAAAGAACAGGGCCCAGAUCUUUCUUGAAAAACCUUCCAGGUGUGGAACCUUGGAACUGAACUCGGACCUGCAAGAUACACAACACACUUCCACAUCCGUUCAUCGCCAAUGUUAGUUAUUUCGUCAGUAGAUGAACUUUCUUAAUUAAAAUAAAUUUACAUUCAUAUUUCUAUACAUUUUAUAUUCCUUAAUUUAAAUAAAUAUAUGAUGCGUUGGAAUUUCAUAAUAAAGUUAUAAUCUACUCUUUCUUGGGAAAAUAUUCAAAAUUAUAUUACAAGAUGUUAACGAAUAACGAGUUUAAUCAUUCAUAAUUCAUUUGGAGCUAAGAAAAAAUCUUCAGGAAUAAGAAUUACUACGGUACAUGAAUUCCUGUCGGAGCAUUUCGUUUACGAAGUUUUCCUGAUAUUCACGUGAAACCAAAGGAAUUGCCCGCAUGGCGGCUUUUGUCCUUUCACUAAAGAAAUAUACGAUAGAAUGGAGAAAAAAAGGAAUAGAUCAUUUUUCGAUAAUAGAUACAAGAAACAAGGCAACGGGAGAAAUACGAUGUUUAGAGUGAGAGGACAGAUCCGAGUCAGUCGGUUCAGGGGAACGAUGUUGUCAACAAGUAUCCGGAAGAACCGGCAACGAGUCAAUGCAGAACAAAAAAGAAAAAAAUAACAUGUCGGGAAAAAUAGAUCUUACGAUCCCUGAAGUUCUAAUUGGGCACUGUGAAAUAAAAGGAGAAUCAAUUGGACUGUAUGAUGAAACAAAGGACGAAUUUUGUUAUAUUAAAGGCAUUUGUCAUCCCAAAGAGAACUUUUAAAUGCCAAAAAAAAUAUUAUAAAGAAUUCUCUCUCUUGUGACUGACCAUCGUUUAUUUUAAUAAAUUUAUUUUAUAAUUUAACAAGCAAUAAUUGUCACGAAUAAUUUUUAUGUUGACAGACCAACGUUUCCCAUCCUUAUUCACGGAGAAAUUGCACAUACUACGGUCAGGCCAGACUUGUAGUACGGAGAUUCCAUAUUCAUAUGCAAAUAAAUUUUUCAUGAAGCAUUCUUUUUGUAAUAAAUAAAAUACAAUAUAGUCAUAAGUGCUUUAAUCCGAUAAUGAGCACCAGUUAUUCAUAUUACUGUAUGUCUCAGCGAUAUAUUAAGGCACAUUUACACUAGGCAGUCCUAGCGAACCAGUUCAAUCUAAUGGAUGGUCGUCAGUUUUUCCUGUUCUCAAUGAGCGGAACGUUUAAUUAUUUACGAAGAUAUUCGUUCGUCAGUGAUCCGUUUUUUAUUAAUAUUUAUAAGCUGUAAUGAAUAUCAAUGUAAGAAUAUAUUUCAUAAGUAUAAUGAACUAAGUCCACCGUCCUGCACAACAGAGAAACGUGAUCACUUCUCUCCAAACAAUAAACAAAGAAAACGACUCUGGUUUUUCCCUGAAAAUGAUCCCGAAAAAAGUGAAAUCGAAAGAAACAGAGGUGAUCCGGGGAAUGAAAAGGGUUAGAAAAAUCGGAGUCGCUCGAAGGAUUGAAUACAGUGAGGGCGUAUCCAAGAGUCGCUCCAGAGCUUUGCAAAGUUCGCAUUGUGAAAGAGUCAUCAAAACUAGAAGAAAAGGAAAAAAUAAAUAUUCGGACAGUUGCAUACUAUUAAUUCAGAUUAAGAUGAAGAACUUUUUGCGAUCCUUUAUCGUAUGAAACUAUAAACAGGAAAAAUCUCAAUCAAUCGAUGCUCAACUAGAGAAAGAGGGCUUGACUUUAGUUUUAUUUAUAUACUUAUAUAAACUAUUUAUCCUUUUGAAUUGAGUGUAGGAUUUCUUUGAUAUAUUCAAAAUAUCUCUCUAUUAAAAGAAGUUAUUAGUUUUUAAACUGUAGUCUCUGUGACGUUAUAGUCAAAAGCCUCAUUUUCUCUCCUUACCUACAUCGCGCCAUAUACCGCGUUUAGGCUUAAAGUUUGUUCAGUACCGUCCUCAGGUUCCACAGUAUAAAUUAAAUUAUUGUAUUAUUAUAAAUAAGCAUCUGGGAAAAAGUAGAUUCUGACCGCAAUAUUUCUUAUAUUUCAU
rnacentral:lncRNA from 1 species